AGUGAACGCUGGCGGUAGGCCUAACACAUGCAAGUCGAACGGCAGCACAGGAGAGCUUGCUCUCUGGGUGGCGAGUGGCGGACGGGUGAGGAAUACAUCGGAAUCUACUCUGUCGUGGGGGGUAACGUAGGGAAACUUACGCUAAUACCGCAUACGACCUACGGGUGAAAGCAGGGGAUCUUCGGACCUUGCGCGAUUGAAUGAGCCGAUGUCGGAUUAGCUAGUUGGCGGGGUAAAGGCCCACCAAGGCGACGAUCCGUAGCUGGUCUGAGAGGAUGAUCAGCCACACGGGAACGGAGACACGGUCCAGACUCCUACGGGAGGCAGCAGUGGGGAAUAUUGGACAAUGGGCGCAAGCCUGAUCCAGCCAGACCGCGUGGGUGAAGAAGGCCUUCGGGUUGUAAAGCCCUUUUGUUGGGAAAGAAAUCCAGCUGGCUAAUACCCGGUUGGGAUGACGGUACCCAAAGAAUAAGCACCGGCUAACUUCGUGCCAGCCGCCGCAGUAA
rnacentral:rRNA from 1 species